UCGCCUCGUUGACUCGUACUCGAGCACUGAACAAAGAGAGCAGCGGCGGCGCCCCCUCCCCAUCCGGCGUUUCUCUACCUUCCCCUAAAAACUCCGUCGAUCCCUCCGGCGAAGUCCUCUCCCGCUUUCCUACAUCGGGUCUCCUCUGACCACCCUUGUGCGACAUCCUACUCCAAAAAAAAGGCGGUCAGGUGCGCCCCUGCUCUCUUCGCAUGAAGCAAUCCAGUACUCCGAAUGCCCCCCUGCCAACGGUGCUGCUGGCCACGGCGCUUUGUAACGCCCCAUUCCAAUUUGGUUGCAGGAUUUGAAAAAAUAGUCACUCCAUCACCAGGGCCUCUAGUUUUCGAAUAACUUGGUGCAUGCUGUGAUGUAACAAGUGCUUUGCCUAUUUGCGGCUAAAUUGAGGGACGAGGCUGUGGAGCAAGGGGAAGCCGCUGCACUUGACAGAGCGAGGGGAAAUGCGGUCGUGCAGUAUUACGUAUGCUGUAUCUGAAUGUCGAGGGAGUUACCAUGUCGCGCUGUUUUUCUGAAUGGUUUUUGGGUGAGCGUGCACGUUAUCCCUGUAACACCGGAAGCCCAGGCAGCAAGGCAUGUUCUGCUGUUCUGAAGGAUUCAAGGUUUGACAGGGUUAUCUUAGCUUCAGACUGUCUUUAUUUGGCUAACAAGCUGAACUUUUCCUUGCUGGACAGAACGUCUGCUGGAUAUACAUGAUGCCGGCGUUGUGUGGGUUGACGAAGCCCUGGAACCGUUCCGUCCUCUCGUUUGUACUGAACAAGUUUUUUUUUUAAGAUGGAUAAACAAGUUUGGCAAAACGGUGACUCUUUAGGAAAAUAUAAUUCUACUGAGUUGAGUUAA